CCAGGAGCUCCCCCGGACCUGCCAGCUGCUGCAGGAGGAGUGAGAAGGACCCCACCUCGAGUACUGCUCCCCCCGAGACUAUUCUUGCCCGAUGUUCACACAGAUACGCAGACACAGGCCCAGUGAGGUCAGCUCAUUUUCCUGAGAGGCUCUGGCAGCGGCGCGUACCUCGUGUGCGGUGCCCAGCUCUCCGUGCAUGCAUUUCGCCAGCCGAGCAGCAAACGAAGUGGUGCCAUCAAAACUCUGGUUGUUUCACUGUAUGGGAAAAUUGCCAAGUGAGCACCCUUCAGAGAAUACCACAUAACAUUUUGUUCUGGAUAAAGCUGUAUUCCUUGCUUUGGUUUGAAAAUCUGCUGAGUGAUUAUACCUCAGUCCUGUAUAAUCUACUGAUCUGCAUAACCAAUAAUAAACAUGAAACAGUGCA